rnacentral:RNase_P_RNA from 1 species
CAGCCGAACAGUCGCUGUUUUGCUUUUGCAAAAUGGAGGAAAGUCCGGGCUCCAUAGGGUAGAGUGCCAGGUAACGCCUGGGGGGCGAAAGCCUACGGCCAGUGCAGCAGAAAAUAAACCGCCUGAUUCGUCAGGUAAGGGUGAAAUGGUGCGGUAAGAGCGCACCGCGCUUCUGGUAACAGAAGUGGCAGGGUAAACCCCACUCGGAGCAAGACCAAGUAGGAACUCACUAGGCGUGACCCGCGCUGAGUUCGGGUAGGUUGCUACAGGGGUACGGCGACGUACUUCGCAGAUGAAUGACUGUUCUCGACAGAACCCGGCUUACAGGCUGAC